rnacentral:rRNA from 1 species
GUCAGCGGCUAUAACUCACAACUGGUAACCCACCCUGAAACUCACAACUGGCAGCCCACGGAAGCUAAACAGGUGUGAGCCUGGUCAGUACCUGGAUGGGAGACCUCCUGGGAAAGCUAAGGCUGCUGCUGGAA